CAUGAAGCCGGAAUCGCUAGUAAUCGCGGAUCAGAAUGCCGCGGUGAAUACGUUCCCGGGUCUUGUACACACCGCCCGUCACACCAUGGGAGUCGGAAAUGCCCGAAGCCGGUGACCCAACCCGAAAGGGAGGGAGCCGUCGAAGGCAGGUCGGAUGACUGGGGUGAAGUCGUAACAAGGUAGC
rnacentral:rRNA from 1 species